UUGCGGGCACAUCAUGUUGAAACAUCGUUUCCCGUACGAUCGCUGAAGUUAAGCAACAUCGAGGUGGUCAGUACCUAGAUGGGUAACCGCUUGGAAAUACCAGGUUG